rnacentral:lncRNA from 1 species
GGCAGGGCAAGAUGGCGAAGGGAGACAACAAGGUACGCCAACGAAUGGAGACGGCAGGGUACGACAGGGGCUGACCACUUUCCACCAUUGAUCGGCAACAGAGCCUCUGGGUGGUCCUCCGGUGGCCGUUGAACGACAUGUCAAGGUGGAAACGGGGAUGGAGCUUGUCGCGGGAGGGAGAGUUUCUCUCUCUAGGUUUUUGGUUCCAAUCUGUCAAAUGCAAAUUUGAAAUCUGAAUUUCAAAACCCCUCUUUAGAACCUCACAGAAUAUAAGCCUCGUCAUUCUUUCAUUUUAUUUUUUUUAAAACACGUGGACCACCCAGAAUUUGACACGUGGUGGUGUCAAAAAUUUGUCAAAUUCUGGGUGUCAAAGUAUCAUUAUCCAUCUAUAUAUAAAUAUGUAGCUAAAAUGUAUAUCUCAAGUUACUCUUUUAGUUCAUGUUUAAGUUGUGUUUAUGAAAGAUAUAAAUGUUUUGUUUUGCUUGAGGACAAACAAAAUUCUAAGUUUGGUGUGUUGAUGAAGGUUGAAAAACAAUUAUUUUCAUAUGUCAAUUUGGACCAAAUUACACCCUUUACUACUCGGAAUGAGCUUAGAAUCAAGCAAAACUCAAUUAAGAAAGUCGCAUAAUAAUUAAUUAAUCAAACUAAUAUUCAAGAGGAGUAGAUAAGAGAGGGCGGAUUAGAUGAAAUUGUAAACCCCAACAACAUCCAUUCAUCCAUUGUUUUCUUUUGUCAAUUGAAUCAACUUUAUUUUGCAUGUUAAUAUUUUUUCUCAAAUCCAAUUUAUUAAUUUUUAUUUUCAAGUCUUA